rnacentral:rRNA from 1 species
GUGCAGCAGUCGCGCAAACUUUGCAAUACACGAAAGUGUGACAGGGCUAUCCCGAGUGCCGUCCGCUGAGGGUGGCUUUUACCCAGUCUAUAAAGCUGGGAGAAUAAGGAGAGGGCAAGUCUGGUGUCAGCCGCCGCGGUAAUACCAGCUCUCCGAGUGGUGUGGAUGUUUAUUGGGCCUAAAGCAUCCGUAGCUUGCCAAGCAAGUCCCCUGUUAAACCCACCGAAUUAAUCGUUGGAUUGCGGGGGAUACUGCUCGGCUAGGGGACGGGAGAGGCCGACGGUAUUUCCGGGGUAGGGGUGAAAUCCUAUAAUCCCGGGAGGACCACCAGUGGCGAAGGCGGCCGACUAAAACGCGCCCGACGGUGAGGGACGAAAGCUGGGGGAGCGAACGGGAUUAGAUAUGAAGUUGAGUUUUUGCCAGCUUCACUAGAUACCCCGGUAGUCC